GACGAACGCUGGCGGCGUGCCUAAUACAUGCAAGUCGAACGCAGUUGGGACGGGUGAGUAACACGUGGGUAACCUCCCAUCAGAGGGGAUAACACUUGGAAACAGGUGCUAAACCGAUACUGAUGGAUGGACCCGCGGUGCAUUAGCUAGUUGGUGAGGUAACGGCUCACAAAGGCCACGCUGCAUAGCCGACCGGAGAGGGGUACCAGCCACACUGGAACGGAGACACGGUCCAGAACCCUACGGGAGGCAGCAGUGGGGAAUAGUGCACAAUGGGCGCAAGCCUGAUGCAGCCAUGCCGCGUGUAUGAAGAAGGCCUUCGGGUUGUAAAGUACUUUCAGCGGGGAGGCGUUACCCGCAGAAGAAGCACCGGCUAACUCCGUGCCAGCAGCCGCGGUAAUUC
rnacentral:rRNA from 1 species